rnacentral:lncRNA from 1 species
CAGAUUCUUUUCUCUUAUAGGUGUUUACAAAGUAUUAAGUAUAAUUUCCUAUGCUACACAGUUGGUCUUUGUUGGUUAUCUGUUUUAUAGAUACUGAUGUGAAUAUGUUACUCCCAGAGUCCUAAUUUAUCCCUCCCUCACCCUGCUUUCCCCUUUGGUAAUCAUAAGUUUGUUUUUGAAGUCUGUUGGUCUAUUUCUGUUUUGUAUAUAAGUUCAUUUGUAUUGUAUUUUUUUAGAUUCCACAUAUAAGCAAUAUCAUAUAUUUGUCUUCUGGCUUACUUCACUUAGUAUGAUAAUCUCGAGGUCCAUCCAUGUUGCUGCAAAUGGCAUCAUUUCAUCCUUUUUUACAGCUAAUAUUCCAUUUUUUGCGUGUGUGUGUACCCUAUCUUUAUCUGUUCAUUUGUAGAUAACAUAAAGAUUGCUUCCAUGUCCUAGCUAAUUGUAUAUAUAGCACUGCUGUGAAUAUUGAGGUGCAAGAAUCUUUGUGAAUUAUGUUUUUCUGGAUAUAUGCCCCAAGAGUGGGAUUGCUGAGUCAUAUGGUAGCUUUAUUUUUAGUUUCUUAAAGAACCUCCAUACUAUUCUCCAUAGUAGCUGUAUCAAUUUACAUUUCCCCCAAAAGUGUAGGAAGAUUCCUUUUUCUCCACACUCUCUCCAGCAUUUAUUAUUUGUAGACUUUUUGAUGAUGACCAUUGUGAUGUUUCGUAGUUCUGAUUUGCAUUUCUCUAAUAAUUAACAAUGUUGAGCAUCUUUUCAUGUGCCCUUGGCCAUCUGUAUGCCUUUUUGGAGAAAUAUCCAUUGGGGUCUUCUGCCACUUUUGAUUAGGUUGCUUGUUUUUUUGAUAUUGAGUUGUAUGAACUGUUUGUAUAUUUUGAAGAUUAAUCCCUUGUCAGUUGCAUCAUUUAAAAAUAUUUUCUCCAUUCUGUAGGUUGUCUUUUUUUGUUUAUGAUUUCCUUUGCUGUGUAAAAGCUUUUAAGUUUAAUUAGGUCCCAUUUGCUUAUUUUUAUUUCUAUUACUCUAGGAGAUGGAUCCAAAAAGAUACUGUGAUUUAUGUCAGAGUGUUUGGCCUAUGUUUUCCUCUAGGAGUUGUAUAGCAUCUAGUCUUACAUUUAGGUCUUUAAUCCACUGGAUUUUAUUUUUAUAUACAGUUUUAGAGAAUGGUCUAAUUUCACAUUUUACAUGUCACUGUCCAGUUUCCUGAGCAGCACUUAGAGAAGAGAUUAUCUUCACUGUGUAUUCUUGCUUCUUUUGUUGUAGAUUAACUGACCAUAGGUGCAUGGGUUUGUUUCUGUGCUUUCUAUCCUAUUCCAUUGGUCUAUAUUUCUGUUUUUGUGCCACUACCAUACUGUUUUGGUUAUUGUAGCUUUGUAGUAUAGUCUGAAGUAAGGGACCCUAUUCCUUCAGCUCCAAUUUUUCUUUCUCAAGAUUGUUUUGGCUAGUAAGGGCCUUUUGUGUUUCCACACAUGUUUUAAAAGUUUUUGUUCUAGUUCUGUGAAAAAUGGCAUUGGUAAUUUGAUAAGGAUUGCAUUGAAUCUGUAGAUUACCUUGGGUAUUACAGUCAUUUUGACAAUAUUGACUUCUAAUCCAAGAACACAGUAUAUCUUUCCAUCUGUUUGUGUCAUCUUUGAUUUCUUUCAUCAUCAUUGUAUAGUUUUUGGAGUACAGAUCUUUUGCCUCCUUUGGCAGGUUUAUUCCUAGAUAUUUUAUCUUUUUGAUGUGAUGAUAAAUGAGACUGUCUCCUUACUUUCUCUUUUUUAUCUUUUGUUGUUAUUUCAUACAUAUGCAACAGAUUGCUAUGUAUUAAUUUCGUAUCUUGCAACUUUACUGAAUUCAUUGAUGAGCUCUGGUUGUUUCUUUUGUUUUUUAGAUUUUCACGUAUAAAUGAAAUCAUAUGGUAAUUGUCUUUCUCUGUCUGACUUAUUUUACUGAGUAUAGUGUGCUCAAUGUCCAUCCCUGUUGUUGCAAAUGGCAAUAUUUCAUUCUUUUUUUUAUAGAUGGUAAUAUUCCAUUAUGUGUGGCAUGUAAAUACGCCACAUCUUCUUUAUCCAUAUCCAUUCAUCUCUCGUAAGUUGUUUCCAUAUUUUGGCUAUAAUAAAUAAUGCUACAAUGAACACAGAGGUGCAUAGAACACAGGGGUGCAUAUAGCUUUCCAGUUAGUGUUUUUGUUUUCUUUGAUAAACAGUCAAAAGUGGAAUUACUAGAUCACAUUUUGAAUUUUUUUGAAAAACCUUCAUAUCGUUUUCCACAGUGAUUGCACUAAUACACAUUAUCACCAACACUAUAUAUAUAAGGGUUCCCAUUUCUCCACAUCCUUUUUGAGCAACUACUUUUGGCUGCCUACUCUUUUUUAUUUUAUUUUAUUUUUUUCUUUUUGGCUGUGCCUACAGCAUGUGGAAGUUCCUGAGGCCAGGGAUCAAACCUGCACCACAGCUAAAAUCAGAGUCGCAGCAGUGACAACACAGAUUCUUAAUUCACUGAGUCACUAGGGAAUUCCCUUACUACUCUUUUAUAAUAGAUAACAUGUUUCCCAAUUAUCUGAGAAUCACUUUUAGAAUACAACAUCAUAAACUUAUGGGAAAUGCUAACAAAAUUUUCUUAUUUGCUGACACUAAUUAGGAUAUUUGUUUAAUUUUGGGGAAUCCUGGUAGCAUUUCAACAGAAAAUGGGUUCCUAAGUAGUAGCUUAGAAAAAUCUCCAUAAACAUUUCAUUUGAUAUUCUCAUAUUUUACAUUAGUACAAGUGUUUUGUACACCCCAGGGAUGUGAAAUGUGCUAUAAGAAAUGCAGUGAGCUGUCAGUCAGUGCCCUGCAGGGGAAUUUAUAAAAUGGAAUCCUGCAAAUGGUGUUUGUUUCUUUUCAGCCCAGACUGUAUGGAUUAUUUGAACUAAAUCUGGGGAUCCAUGAAGGGGUGCAGGAAGCUAAUACAGAGCUAUGCAUUCCCAUGGAUGGUGAAUAAACACUUGUGGUCUGAAUGACAGACUACUCAUUACACAAGACUAAAACUUUUUAUUUUGGAAUAAUGGUUUUAUGUGGCUCCUGCAUUUUUUUAAUAAAUAUCCCAAUUAUCAUCAUAUCAUCCUUCUUAAAUGAGAACCAGACUUGAUUCCUUGAAGUGUUCUUAUCCCUCUCACUGGCGGAGAGAGGCUGCAUGUGAGGUCCAUUCUGACUGGGUUUACUGUCCAAGACAGAAGAAGGGUUAGUCACAAGAGAUGGAAGGAGCUACACUGAUUGGGGAAUCAUCAUGCUCUCAGGGGAAAAUUUGGGCAACAUUACUUCUCCAAGACUCCACUUUCUCAUCUCUAAUAUGGAAGAAAUAAUAUCAUGAGGAUCAAAUGAGAUGGUGUUUCUAAGACACCUGUACUUAGUAAGCAUAUCACUUGCUAAAUACUAGCUAUUUUUGUUUCCAUUCUUUUUUAUUAUUAUUUAUUUGUCUUUUUAUCUUUUCUAGGGCUGCACCCACGGCACAUGGUGGUUCCCAGGCUAGGGGUCUAAUUGGAGCUGUAGUGCCAGCCAACACCAGAGCCAGAGCAACAGAGGAUCCGAGCCACAUCUGCAGCCUACACCACAGCUCACGGCAAUGCUGGGUACUUGACCCACUAAGCGAGGCCAGGGAUCGAACCCCCAAACUUCCCAUUUGGGUUCAUUAGCCACUGCGCCACUAUGGGAACUCCGUUGGUUUUCAUUCUUGAUAAGGCAGGAACAUGGAAAAGUAUUAUGUCCUGAAUACAUACUAUUGGAUAUCUGAGAGUUUACAUCAUUAGCUGCCACUUAAAGACCUUUUUUUUUUUUUUUUUCCCACUGUAGUUAACAAGAGAACAACCUGGUCAUGUCCCUUUUUCACUUAGUAGCUGUACAUAUGGUUUGACUAAAAACUAACAUCCUCUUCUUCAGCUGCCUUAUUCUCCAGAAGACUAAACAGUACAUUUCCUCAGCUUAUCUCACUAAUUCCUUAAAUCCCAUUGUCUAAAUAUGAGUUGUAAAAUACUCCAUGAUAUGAAGAGUAACAUACAAUGUAAAUAUAUGGUCAAAAGAAUAAAGAAUAUAUCUUCACCAGACAUCUUAUUCUAUAUGUCUAAGGAUCCAGUUGGACUCAAGAAUGAUUAUUAUUCUCAAAAACCUGUACUAAAGCUAUCCAUUUACUUUUCCUUUCUUUUUUUUUUUUUUUUUUUUUUUGUCUUUUUAGGGCCACGCCCAUAGCAUAUGGAAGUUCUCAAGCUAGGGCUCUAAUGGGAGCUAUAGCUGCCAGCCUACACCAUAGCCACAGCAACGUGGGAUCCAAGCCACAUCUGUGACCUACACCACAGUUCAGGGCAAGCCCAGAUCCUUAACCCACUGAGCAAGACCAGAGAUCAAACUCACAUCCUCAUAAAUACUAGUCGGGUUCGUUAUUGCUAAGCUACAUAGGGAGCUCCCAUAUUUCAUUAUUUUUUAUAUAGUGGCAGGUGUUUUAAUCUGCAAGGGAGAAAUUCACCUUAAACAGUGGAAUGUAUUUCUUAGAGUUGUAGAAAAUGUUUCAACCUUAGAGGAUGAGUGAGCUUUUCUCUUUAUAUUUGUUUUAAUGAAAAAGUGUGUGUGUGUAUGUGUGUCUACCAGACCAGGUAUACUUCAAUUUAAAAACUCAAAAUUUGUCAGUCAUCCCAAUAUUUCAUUUUAGAGAGCUCCAAACUUCUAUAUAUUUGACUUUAAUUAGGUCACUGUUUUCCAAACUGAUAAGUGAGCUAUUAGUGGUAUAUAAGUAAAAUUUUAAUAUUUAUUUAUUUUAGUGUGCCCUCAGAAAUUCAAUAAGAAUAUUAAAUUAUUAUGUAAAAUUUCAUUUUUAAUAAAAUUACUUAUAUUAAAAAGGCAAUAAUAAAAACACUGAUCUAAAUGACUAAUUGAAAAGACAGCUUACAGAAUGGGAGAAAAUAGUGUUAAAUGAUUCAACAGACAAGGGCUUAAUCUCUAAAAUAUACAAGCAACUUAUACAACUCAACAGCAAAAAAGCCAACAACCCAAUUGAAAAAUGGGCAAAAGACCUGAAUAGACAUUUCUCCAAAGAAGAUAUGAAAAAAUGCUCAACAUCCCUGAUUAUUAGAGAAAUGCAAAUGAAAACUACUAUGAGGUACAACCUCACACCAGUCAGAAUGGCCAUCAUUAAUAAGUCCACAAAUAACAAAUGCUGGAGGGGAUGUGGAGAAAAGGGAACCCUCCUGCACUGUUGGUGGGAAUGUAAGCUGGUACAACCACUAUGGAAAACAGUAUGGAGGUACCUUAGAAAACUAUACAUAUAACUACCAUAUGACCCCACAAUCCCACUCUUGGGCACAUAUCCGGACAAAAUUUUCCUUGAAAAAGACAUAUGCACCCGCAUGUUCAUUGCAGCUCUAUUCACAAUAGCCAAGACAUGGAAACAACCCAGAUGUCCACUGACACAUGAUUGGAUUAGGAAGAUGUAGUAUAUAUACACAAUGGAAUACUACUCAGCCAUACAAAAGAACAACAUAUGCCAACUGCAGCAACAUGGAUGGGACCUGAGACUCUCAUACUGAGUGAAGUACGUCAGAAAGAGAAAGACAAACACCAUGCGAUGUCACAUAUCUGGAAUCUAAUAUACUACACAAAUGAACUUUUCCACAGAAAAGAAAAUCAUGGACUUAGAGAACAGACUUGUGGUGGCCAAGGGGGAGGGAAUGGGAUGGACUGGGAAUCUGGUGUUAACAGAUGCAGACUGUUGCCUUUGGAAUGGAUAGGCAAUGAGAUCCUGCUGUAUAGCACUGGAAACUAUGUCUAAUCACUUCUGAUGAAUCUACACAUGUAUGUGUAACCGGGUCAACAUGCUGUACAGUAGAAAAUUGACAGAACACUGUAAACUAGCUAUAAUGAAAAAAAUAAAUUAAAAAUAAAAUAAAAUAAAAUUCUAUUGUAUAUAUCAAAAAAUAAAAUAAAAUUCCAUCCUUGUGGAAAAAAAAGAAAACGUUUUGCCACAUGUUAACACUGAGUUAUUUUAUUGCAUGGUUCCACAGUAUUUUGAGUGUUAAGUACCUGAUGGCUUAAAGACACCAGGUUGUAUAAUCCUGCAAACAGAGUCUUACCUGACCAAAUUAGCAGAAGAAUAUAACAUGCACUUUUCCCUCUAUCGCUCCUUACUGUAAAAUAAAUCUGAGAUAGAGAAAAUAUCUAAGGGGAAAAAAUUAAUUAUGCUUUACAGUCUUGGAGUAAGGAAGGUUUUUCAAAGCAUGACAUAAGUUUCAGAAGACUUCAACAAAGAUCUAUCAAUUUGACUAUUAAAAUUUUUAUAGGGAGUUCCCAUGUGGCUCAGUGGAAAUGAAUCUGGCUAGUAUCCAUGAGGAUGUAGGUUCAAUCCCUGGCCUCACUCAGUGGGUCAGGGAUCUGGCAUCACGGUGAGCUUUGCUGUAGGUUGCAGAUGUGGCUUGGAUCCCAUGUUGCUGUGGCUGUGACGUAGGCCAGCAGCGGUAGCUCUGAUUUGACCCCUAGACUGGGAAUUUCCAUAUGCUAUGAGUGCGGCCCUAAAAAGGAAAAUAAAUAAAUAAAUAAAGCUACUCUUUAAAUUUUUUUUUUAAUUUUUGCAUUGUAAGAAAACUAAUAAUAAUUUUUAAAAGGACAAAAUAGGAAGGUUACUUGCAGCACAUAUAACAGACAAAAGCUGAUUUCAAUAAUAUAUAAAAAAUACCUACAUUGUAGCUCAGCAAAAAUGAACCUGACUAGGAUUCAUGAGGAUGCAGGUUCGAUCCCUCACCUCACUCAGUGGGUUAAGGAUCCGGCAUUGCUGUGAGCUGUGGUGUAUGUAACGGACACAGCUCUGAUCCCAUGUUGCUGUGGUUGUGGUGUAGGCUGGCAGCUGCAGCUCUGAUUUGACCCCUUGCCCAGGAACUCCCACAUGCCACAGG